rnacentral:snRNA from 14 species
AUACUUACCUUGUCUAGAUUUCCUGAGCUCACGAAUUCGGGAACUCCAAGAGAAAGUCCUGCAUUGCACAGCGCGGAGACGGUCUCUUGUCAUUCUGCUUCGGGUAAGUUCCUGACUACCACUCAUCGUUGUCGAGCAUGGCUAACUAUCUUCUAGCGGCGUGUUAGGCGGAAUUUUUGAUGC